AGCUGUGAUGAGCAUCGCUUUCUUCUGACACCUCUUGUAUGAGAAGUUCGCCCCUCUCGAGAGAGGCGCCCUUCGUUGAGCAGAGUAUAGCAACUGUCUGAGCU
rnacentral:snoRNA from 3 species